AAGAAAAUUCACUCUUGGGAAGUAGUGGCAUGGGCAAAGGUUCACCGUUUCAAUCUAAAGAGCUUCAGUAUUUUUUUUAUUCUUUAAAUAUGAAACUCGACUAAGAUGCCCUGCGCAUAGAAUAUAUCACUCUGAAUGAAAUGGAGCCAGGACUUCUUUAUUGCUUCUUAAUGGAAACAAUGAGUAUUUCUCUAGAAUAUUCUCGAACUUACCAGUAUUGCUAUCACGCAGAGCAAGCAUAACAUUUUGAGUAAUGUGAAACCUGUGGUUAUACAGACUUGCUUUUUCUGUAACGGGAAAUAAACUUUGAGAGGUUGGAAUUGGAAAUAAUAAAGCAAAAAAGAAAAGAUGUAGCUCUUGGUGCGUUGCUUUUGUUUCACUCAUUUCUUUCUCAUUUCAGCAAUGGCACUUCGCUGCCGACGCCAGGGAAUCUCACAUUCCGAUACGAUGUUAUUCGAACGCAUAGAGAGUUUACGAAGGUCAACACAACUUACAUAACGGAGUCAAGGAGCUACUCUUAUGGAGAAUACCCUGUUCACUUCGCAGAUGAUGUGUGUAUGGUUAUUGCGUUUCCGAGAACAUCAACCUACAUUUUCAAAAGACCUCGCUGCGCACUCUGGGUUCUCAAUACGACACUUGAAUCACCGUCCAAGUACAGACACUGCUUGUUUAUUUUGUUUGCAACCUGCAGAACUCCUAUAUAUAAUUUAUAUGAGUACGAAAAGGCGGAGUGCGAACAAUGGGGCGACCCUCAAGAGUCAACAUAUUGCCAAGCCAAUAAAUGAUAGCGUCGUAA